GACGAACGCUGGCGGCGUGCCUAAUACAUGCAAGUCGAACGCUUCUUUUUCCACCGGAGCUUGCUCCACCGGAAGAAGAGGAGUGGCGAACGGGUGAGUAACACGUGGGUAACCUGCCCAUCAGAAGGGGAUAACACUUGGAAAAAGGUGCUAAUACCGUAUAACAAUCGAAACCGCAUGGUUUUGAUUUGAAAGGCGCUUUCGGGUGUCGCUUAUGGAUGGACCCGCGGUGCAUUAGCUAGUUGGUGAGGUAACGGCUCACCAAGGCCACGAUGCAUAGCCGACCUGAGAGGGUGAUCGGCCACAUUGGGACUGAGACACGGCCCAAACUCCUACGGGAGGCAGCAGUAGGGAAUCUUCGGCAAUGGACGAAAGUCUGACCGAGCAACGCCGCGUGAGUGAAGAAGGUUUUCGGAUCGUAAAACUCUGUUGUUAGAGAAGAACAAGGAUGAGAGUAACUGUUCAUCCCUUGACGGUAUCUAACCAGAAAGCCACGGCUAACUACGUGCGAGCCGCCGCUGUAA
rnacentral:rRNA from 1 species